UACGGAGGGAGCUAGCGUUGUUCGGAAUUACUGGGCGUAAAGCGCACGUAGGCGGCUUUGUAAGUUAGAGGUGAAAGCCCGGAGCUCAACUCCGGAAUUGCCUUUAAGACUGCAUCGCUUGAAUCCAGGAGAGGUGAGUGGAAUUCCGAGUGUAGAGGUGAAAUUCGUAGAUAUCGGAAGGAACGCCGGUGGCGAAAGCGACCCGCUGGACCUCUUCUGACGCUGAGGCGCGAAAGCCAGGGGAGCAAACGGG
rnacentral:rRNA from 1 species